AUUGAACGCUGGCGGCAGGCCUAACACAUGCAAGUCGAACGAGUGGCGGACGGGUGAGUAAUGUCUGGGACACUGCCUGCUGGAGGGGGAUAACUACUGGAAACGGUACCUAAUACCGCAUACCAUCGGAUGUGCCCAUAUGGGCUUAGCUAGUAGGUGGGGUAAAGGCUCCCCUAGGCGACGAUCCCUAGCUGGUCUGAGAGGAUGACGAGCGACACUGGAACGGAGGCACGGUCUAGACUGCUACGGGAGGCAGCAGUGGGGAAUAUGGCACAAGGGGCGCAAGCCUGAUGCAGCCAUGCCGCGUGUAUGAAGAAGGCCUUCGGGUUGUAAAGUACUUUCAGCGGGGAGGCGUUACCCGCAGAAGAAGCACCGGCUAAAUCCGUGCCAGCAGCCGCGGUAAUUC
rnacentral:rRNA from 1 species